ACAGGCUUUUAUAUGCGUAGACGUGACCUGCUACGUAUGAAAAGAGCAGACACGUGAUGCUGUUAUCCGAUCUACUCGUGCUGCAGCAGCUGCAGAAGAAAUGUUUUCCUUUCCACAGGCUGGCGACUGACACCUCACAUUACUGUAACUCCCUCAGAAGCUCAUUGGUAUUCUGCUGCUGCCUCUCCGCUGUGGAGGUCAGAGCCGAUGUUUUGGAACCUGAACAUCCAGCUGUCGGACCCGGCUCCGGAUCCUUCUAUUCUGGACAACUGCAACAGAGAGGAAAGCCUGUGCGGCUUUUACUUGGUUCAGGCUGAACUUUACUUAUUGGAAUCAAGUCUGAAGCUUCCUUUCAGAUUUCUAAGGGUAAAAUGUUCUGAAAGACAUCGUGCCCCAGUUUUAUUGUAGCUCGAGGGGAAAAAUAAGAGAAAAGAAAAGAACAGGCUUUGAAGACGUUGCAUCACUUGCUCCUCAGAUCUACAUGUGAUGGGCAAUAUUAUGUGUAUUUAUCCACAUCCAAGCGCAGUUAGGCUCCACAUCCAGACGCCGCGUGUUAAGGAGGUUCUAUGACACACAAGCUUUGUUUCCUUUAAAGAAGUGUCACUUAAACCAGAUGAGGCGACCGUGCGUCUGUUGCAAAAUGACAUGGCUGAGAGCAGCUGCAGUUUAAGCAGUUUGAACUUCUGAGCUGCUUUAGUUUGAGGCUACGCUGCAGAAGGUGACAGGACGCAUCACAGAGCUGCUGAUGAUGCAACGUGAGAUGACAUGAAUCUGUUGGGAGGCAGAUUCCAGCUGGUCAGAACACGGCUCCAAAACGAAAGGCGCCCGACAGGAGUCUGCGCCUGGUGCAGACAACAACAGCACAACUUUGUUAUCUUUGUGGUGCUUUUUUCACAUUUAGUUCUGCAGCCAAAGAAAAUGACUUCAGACACAUGAUGACAAUCCUGAAAGAUUUGACAUUUUACAUAUGGAAGCAGAACAGAUGUGAUGUGACAGAUGUAAAUAUAGUCGCUCUGUACAAACAACGACAACAGACAACGCCGCGUCUGCUCCUAUUCCAUCAUCCUCUUAUUUAGUUUCCUGUCAAAUGAUCUUAAAGAGGAACUUUGUUUGAUUUCUGCUGUUCUUAUUAACUUCACUAGUUCCUGAUAAACCUGAGUUUGGCUUGAAAACACUGUUCACUUCCUUCCGAGAUCCUGCUUCAUGUCAGGUCGACACGUGGCGCCGGGUCAACAUUAAAGUUGAAUGUUGAUGCCACCCUCCCAUCACGUAUUCAUGAGCAGAGACUAGUUUAAACUUCAUGCAGGAUGCAUGAACCUGUAUCUGGACGAGGCCCCUGCAGCCCGGCCAAAGUGACUGUUGAAGCUCAUCUGGUCCACCCCACAGCCCGGGCACACGGCUCGGAUCAGCUGUGACUGACCCGUGGAGCCAAACCAGCAGAGCCAGUCUGCUCUGACGCUGAGACAGACGAGGUUCCGAGCCCCAGAAUUGCUCCAGCGCCGGCGGUUCUGCUGCUGAGCCCAGUCUUUGCUCGUAGGUCGGCUGCCGCCACGUUGCUGCUUAUUUGAAGCAACGAUGCUCCGGAACUGACAGCAGCAGCAAGCUCUUCAUAAAAGUCAUCGAUCGUUAGUCAUUUUGCUUCUGACAUUUUCAAAGCUGACAAACACAUUUACAUUUAAAAAUGUCAUCGCUCACUUAAGACACAUAGAAUAAAACAAGGACAGAGACAGAGAAUGCGUGAGAU
rnacentral:lncRNA from 1 species